AGAGUUUGAUCAUGGCUCAGAAUAAACGUUGCGGCGUGCUUAACACAUGCAAGUCGAGCGAGAAAGGUCUUCGGACUGAGUACAGCGGCAAACGGGUGAGUAACACGUGGGAAUCUACCUUUUAGUGAAGAAUACCCUCGAGAAAUCGAGGUUAAUACUGCAUACGUCUCGAAAGAGAGAAAGAUUGGCCUCUUUGCUGUCGCUGAAAGAUGAGCCUGCGUACUAUUAGCUAGUUGGUAGGGUAAAGGCCUACCAAGGCUAUGAUGGUUAGCCGGCCUGAGAGGGUGUACGGCCACACUGGAACUUAGACACGGUCCAGACUCCUACGGGAGGCAGCAGUGAGGAAUAUUGCGCAAUGGGCGAAAGCCUGACGCAGCGACGCCGCGUGGAGGAUGAAGGUCUUAGGAUUGUAAACUUCUGUUAAGCGGGAAGAAAGACGAAGUGUUAAUACCACUUUAUGAUGACGGUACCGCUAAAGAAAGCACCGGCUAACUUCGUG
rnacentral:rRNA from 1 species